rnacentral:lncRNA from 1 species
CGAACUUCCGGGUCUCAUAACUUCUCCACUUUAGCUCGGUUUUGCCUGAAAUUUGACGUGUGCUUAUGUAAUUAAAUUACACACAUAAACAUCGUCAACAGAGAGUCUAAUUGCACUGUCAAAAUCUCAGUCCUUACAAUAAUAUAGUAAAUAGAAUAGAUAUGAUGACACGUGGCAAGCAUAUAGAAAGCCACGUUAGGAAAAAUGUCUCUAUCCUUUUUUACUAAUAUUUUUAUAUCCAGUAAUUUUCAACCAAUCAUUUCAAAUAAUUAACUAAGUAAUAAUUUAUUCCCAAAUAAAGAUAAAUAUUUUCUUUCUAACGCGUAAUAUCCGCAUCCGCCAAUUCUUUCACAACGUAAUAUCCGUGAAUUUCUCAAAUAUCUCAACAUAAUUAUAGGUGACUUUGAAAUAAAAUCACGUAAGCAUAUAGAAAGCCACGUGUCAGCUUCUCACAUAGGGUUCAUAAAGGGUUCUACUUUAAUAUAUAGUAAUAGAUAGAUAAAAGGCUUCUAUUUUUAAAAUUAAAAUUCAAAUUGCUCAUUCGAUAGUAAAAACAAUAUUAAAGUUAAAAAAUAUUAAUUAAAAUUAAAUUUUAAAUUUAGAAUUAAUUUAUAUUAUAGUUAAAAAAUAAAUUUUGUUAACUAUUUAAACUAAACGAUUUGAAAAUUAACUUUAAAUUAUAAAUUUGAAUUUAAUUUU